AUACACUAUACACUUCUGGAUAAAAUCAAAUGUAGUAUCUUGCUUUCUGUAUAAUAUUUGAUAUUUCUUCUAUCUGAUGACACUAAAUAAGAUGAUUUUUGAAGCUGAGAGAUGGAAUAGGGCUUGCUACUUCUAUUUCAUGAAGUGCCCUGGUGUUGUAGUACCUGCUGCAUCAUUGCAUCAAAA